rnacentral:tRNA from 1 species
UCCCAGGUAGCUCAGUGGUAAAGAAUCCACAUAUCAAGCGGGAGAUUCAGGUUCGAUCCCUGGCUUAGGAA